GAUGAAGAACCCAGCAAAAUGCGAUAAGUAUUGUGAAUUGCAGGAUUUUGUGAAUCAUCGAAUUUUUGAACGCACAUUGCACCUUCUGGUAUUCCGGAGGGUAUACCUGUUUGAGCGUCAUUUAUAUACUCAAAACUUCGUUUUGGUGAUGGGCACAUAUCUGGCGAGAGCUGGAUUUGCCUGAAAUAUAGUGGUAGAGAUUGCUACAAGUGAUGCAAGUUAGCCAAUGCUAUUAAGUUAAUUCGUUGGUGAAGCAUGUAGAGCUUUAGUGAUCAUCUUCCUUAACUAUUGGAAUUUUUUCUAAUUUUGACCUCAAAUCAGGCAGGAGUACCCGCUGAACUUAAGCAUAUCAAUAAGCGGAGGA
rnacentral:misc_RNA from 1 species